rnacentral:rRNA from 1 species
UAACGAAUAUUGGGCAAUGGGCGAAAGCCUGACCCAGCGACGCCGCGUAUAGGAUGAAGUUCUUCGGAAUGUAAACUAUUGUCAGGGGCUCGAAAGCCGUAAGGUUGAUCAGCCCCAGAGGAAGUCACGACUAACUUCGUGCCAGCAGUCGCGGUAAUACGAAGGUGACAAGCGUUAUUCGAAAUCACUGGGCUUAAAGGGUGCGUAGGCGGAAAUGUAAGUGUCUUGUGAAAUACCUUGGCUUAACCAAGGCAUUGCUCGGCAAACUGCAUUUCUUGAGGCAAGCAGGGGUGUGUGGAACUCUUGGUGGAGCGGUGGAAUGCGUAGAUAUCAAGAGGAACGCCGAAGGUGAAGACAGCACACUGGGCUUGUCCUGACGCUGAUGCACGAAAGCGUGGGGAGCAAACA